CCUACGGGAGGCAGCAGUGGGGAAUAUUGCACAAUGGGGGGAACCCUGAUGCAGCAAUGCCGCGUGGGUGAAGAAGCACUCCGGUGCGUAAAGCCCUGUCAGCAGGGAAGAAAAUGACAGUACCUGGACAAGAAGCCCCGGCUAACUACGUGCCAGCAGCCGCGGUAAUACGUAGGGGGCAAGCGUUAUCCGGAUUUACUGGGUGUAAAGGGAGAGUAGGUGGCAGAGCAAGUCCGAAGUGAAAACCCAAAGCUCAACUAUGGGAAUGCUUUAGAAACUGCUCAGCUAGAGUGCAGGAGAGGCAA
rnacentral:rRNA from 1 species